rnacentral:rRNA from 1 species
UACGUAGGGCGCAAGUGUUAUCCGGAAUUAUUGGGCGUAAAGAGCUCGUAGGCGGUUUGUCGCGUCUGCUGUGAAAAUCCGAGGCUCAACCUCGGACUUGCAGUGGGUACGGGCAGACUAGAGUGUGGUAGGGGAGACUGGAAUUCCUGGUGUAGCGGUAGAAUGCGCAGAUAUCAGGAGGAACACCGAUGGCGAAGGCAGGUCUCUGGGCCAUUACUGACACUGAGAAGCGAAAGCAUGGGGAGCGAACAGG